rnacentral:rRNA from 1 species
CCUACGGGAGGCAGCAGUGGGGAAUUUUGGACAAUGGGCGCAAGCCUGAUCCAGCAAUGCCGCGUGAGUGAAGAAGGCCUUCGGGUUGUAAAGCUCUUUUGUCAGGGAAGAAACGGUUCGGGUUAAUACCUUGGGCUAAUGACGGUACCUGAAGAAUAAGCACCGGCUAACUACGUGCCAGCAGCCGCGGUAAUACGUAGGGUGCAAGCGUUAAUCGGAAUUACUGGGCGUAAAGCGUGCGCAGGCGGUUGUGCAAGACAGAUGUGAAAUCCCCGGGCUCAACCUGGGAAUUGCAUUUGUGACUGUACGGCUAGAGUGUGUCAGAGGGGGGUAGAAUUCCACGUGUAGCAGUGAAAUGCGUAGAGAUGUGGAGGAAUACCGAUGGCGAAGGCAGCCCCCUGGGAUAACACUGACGCUCAUGCACGAAAGCGUGGGGAGCAAACAGGAUUAGAUACCCUGGUAGUCCACGCCCUAAACGAUGUCUACUAGUUGUCGGUUCUUUAUUGUACUUAGUACGUACGAGCUACGCGUGAGUAGACCGCCGNGGGAGGUACGGUCGGUCGAGAGUUAAACGUACGAAGUUAAGUAGUUGCGNGNGAGAGCGACGACGACGACGACGGAGGAGGAGG